UACGUAGGGUGCAAGCGUUAAUCGGAAUUACUGGGCGUAAGCGUGCGCAGGCGGUGAUGUAAGACAGAUGUGAAAUCCCCGGGCUCAACCUGGGAACUGCAUUUGUGACUGCACUGCUGGAGUGCGAGAGGGGGAUGGAAUUCCGCGUGUAGCAGUGAAAUGCGUAGAUAUGUGGAGGAACACCGAUGGCGAAGGCAAUCCCCUGGGCCUGCACUGACGCUCAUGCACGAAAGCGUGGGGAGCAAACAGG
rnacentral:rRNA from 1 species